rnacentral:lncRNA from 1 species
GGAUAAUUUAAUCGAAUAUUCUCUUUGUUUUGUUUACAUAGCAUUUAUUGAGCACCUACUAAGUGCCUGUUCUGGAGACACAGAAGCUGCAGAGAAAGGGAAGAUCCUGGCCCUGUAGUGUUUAUAUUCAGAGGGGGGAGCAAAAACGUCACCCUCGGAUAUCCAGUCUGCACAAAUGUCAUCUUCUCCCAGAGGUGCUGACCUGCAGUUGGUGACAGUGCUUUGCUGCCAUGGAAGGCUCCGGACCAUGUCGCCAGCCCAGCAAUCCAUUGCUCGACUUCAUUAACCACAGGAAGACAUUAAGUGAAUGUAAGGACCAGAACAGCCUGGAAACCAUGUGAUGAGCAGCCUUUAAGUUCUGGGCUCUGGUAUAUUUUAUGCCACCUUGACUGUGUAUCAAGCUCUCCUUCCUGGACUCAUUAGAACUGUGUGCCCAAAGGUACCCCUCAACUCUCAGAAGCAAAUAGAGAAUGAUAUAAUUCACUCUGAGAACACCUUUCUGUCUUAUCCAGAGCGUGUCUUAGCUAUUAUGAUUAGGCAUUAGGCAU